GUGAAUAUUUUGCAGACACCAAGUGCAACAAAUAGAGUGGAUAUGGUUAUUGCCAACUUGUAAUUCUACAGCAAAAUCAGGAUAUUUAAGAUGACUGUACAUUACAGAUCAACUUCAGAGUAUGGCUAAAAUCAGAAAAAUAAAACCUAUAUCUCCUGCUAGUUUCCCCUUCUGGUUAGCUUGUGAGAAGUUUGCAGGAAGAAAGACAGUGGGGAAGCCAGCAAGAAGUUACAAGUCCAAGGCCGGCAGCGCCGCC